UACGGAAGGCAGCAGUGGGGAAUAUUGCACAAUGGGCGAAAGCCUGAUGCAGCUAUGCCGCGUGUAUGAAGAAGGCCUUAGGGUUGUAAAGUACUUUCAUCGGGGAGGAAAAACAAAACUAAUAAUUUUAUUUCUUGACGUUACCCGAAAAAGAAGCACCGGCUAACUCCGUGCCAGCAGCCGCGGUAAUACGGAGGGUGCUAGCGUUAAUCAGAAUUACUGGGCGUAAAGAGCACGUAGGUGGUUUUUUUAAGUCAGAUGUGAAAUCCCUGGGCUUAACCUAGGAACUGCAUUUUGAAACUGAAUACUAGAGUAUCGUAGAGGGAGGUAGAAUUCUAGGUGUAGCGGUGAAAUGCGUAGAUAUCUGGAGGAAUACCUGUGGCGAAAGCGGCCUCCUAAACGAAUACUGACACUGAGGUGCGAAAGCGUGGGGAGCAAACAGGGAUUAGAUACC
rnacentral:rRNA from 1 species